rnacentral:rRNA from 1 species
GAGGAAUCUUCCACAAUGGGCGCAAGCCUGAUGGAGCAAUGCCGCGUGCAGGAAGACGCUUUUCGGAGUGUAAACUGCUUUUCUGAAGGAAGAUUAUGACGGUACUUCAGGAAUAAGGAUCGGCUAACUACGUGCCAGCAGCCGCGGUAAUACGUAGGAUCCAAGCGUUAUCCGGAAUUACUGGGCGUAAAGCGUGCGCAGACGGUUUGGUAGGUCUGGUGCGAAAUCCGGUGGCUCAACCACCUGGACUGUACCAGAAACCCCCUGACUCGAGGUCGGUAGAGGCAAGUGGAAUUGCUGGUGUAGGGGUGACAUCCGUAGAUAUCAGCAGGAACACCAAUGGCGAAGGCAGCUUGCUGGGCCGUACCUGACGUUCAGGCACGAAAGCGUGGGGAGCGAAC